GGAGGUUGUCUAACCCUACCCCCUACCCCCACUCAGCGCCAGGGCCAUCUGGCAGCUUGGAGCCCUGCAGUGCCACUGCCUAGCAGGUGUUCAGUACACUGAAGGAGGGGCUAACUCGGCGAAGCUGAAGGCAGCAGCAAGUGAGUCCACCUGGUAAAUGCCUCUUCCGCAGGAGAAACAUUGUGGCCUCUCCUCUACUCCAUUUUAGCAAAACCAACCAGAAGACGUCAAUCUAACCUUGCUGACAAAUAUAGUUCCCUAUGACAGACAGCAGUGCUGGAGAGAGUAGGCCCACAGAUCAGGAAACACGGAAACACAAAAGUUGCCCACGGUCUGAUUUUCUAACUGUGCUUCUUGGAAUCUCCCGACUGUGGGAAUGAGCCCAGGAGGUGACGUCGAUUGUUUGGACUUCAAAUAACAGGCUGCAUUAUUCCUUGGCACUGUAACUGGGUCCAAUUUUUGUGUGGUUUGAAGAUGUAAAUUUGUUAUGGAAACAGGCUUGCAGUUGACCAAUGAUUAGCUAAUUUCUGAUACUAGAAAAGGAAGCCUAUUGCCCCAAGGCCACUGUUUUCAUUUCCUCCUGCGAAGGAGCAGCCCAGCAGAGGAGAAAGGCAGCCCCAGCACACUUAAGCCUCGCUGCCAUGGGGAACUGGGCUGUGAAUGAGGGGCUCUCCAUCUUUGUCAUUGUAAGUACCAAAACCAGAUUCAUUACAAGGCUUUUUGGACAUGUUGGGUUCAGUUAGAAGCUCAAAUAGAGCGAUUGUUUUUAUUAUUGUGAUUUGCUUAAGAAAAUUAUUUGCUCUGUGAACAAACAUGUAUCUGUAAGUAGAUUGAGUUAAUUCUCCCAUCCAAAGUUUCUUAAUUAAAAAUAUGCAUCAAUAGCUCUCAUUUGUCCAUGUUUAUUUCUGAUUUCCUAAGACUAUGAGGUUAGCUAGCAUUUAGCAGACAGCAUAAAAGAUACCUCAUACUAAAGAUCUCUAAUUCUGAGAAUGUUUUUUCUUGAUUACUCAGAGGUAAAUUUCUCCAGUUUUUAUGUUAACUACUUAAAAUGGUCAAUUAAAAUUGUACUCUUUUCUGAAUAGCAUUUAUUCUUAUGGAUUACUUGGAUAGGAAACGUGUCUUUAUUUCAGGCAUAACACUGAAAAAUUAGAGUUCUCAAAUUUCUUUUUAAAACAAGUACAUUUUCCCCCUUAUGAGGUAUAAAAUGUAGUUGUUUGUGAAUUUUUACAACAAAUCAAGAUGAAAGAAUUGAAAUAAGUUUUCUAGACUCAUACAUAUGU